rnacentral:rRNA from 1 species
AUAGUGUGCCUAAGCAGACUUCCAAGAAAAACCUCUAAGGUUAGGAUAAAGGUGCCCGUACCGUAAACCGACACAGGUAGUCAAGGAGAGAAUCCUGAGGUGCUCGAGUGAUUCAUGGUUAAGGAACUAGGCAAAAUGGCCCUGUAACUUCGGGAGAAGGGGCGCCAGCGUGAGCUGGCCGCAGUGAAAAGACCCAGGCGACUGUUUAUCAAAAACA